AACAAAGCUGGUCUUGGGAAGAAGGGAAACUUCACAGAGGAGCUGAUAUCUCAAGUGGGUCUUAUAGAAUGAAGUAAGAUAUUGUUUCCCAUGGUCACCACUGUACAGAAGCAAAUGAUUUCCUUCUCAUAUGUCAUCUCACAUCAUCACAAGAAGAAGACUAUCUUCAAUAUCACUGAAUAUCUUCAAGCAAUUGAUCCUCAAAGAGAAUCCAUUAGAUAUAACAGUAAAAUUACAGAAUGCAG